rnacentral:lncRNA from 1 species
GAAGCGGUGUGGGCCGCCAUCUUGGCCCACCUGCUGAUCCUCCACCUGACCGGAGCCCGCCGUGCAUAGGCUGAUAGGAGACGUGCGGGGUGGACGGACUGCGGGACAUCUGAAGGAAGGGCUCAAGGCGCGCCAAGCUCAAAGCUGGGCCGCCACUCUAGACCGUGGAGGGAAGCGCCCGGGCCAGAUCAUCGGUCGAGGACAUGGGGUCGCCUCAGAGUGGGAAGCUCCACAUGGUCCAGAACUGCAGGAGGAAGAAAGCAUCUACUGCAUAAAGGAAAGAAAGGAAAACCCAUAGAAAUGGA